rnacentral:lncRNA from 1 species
GUCUUUUUAGAGCUGUACCUGUGGCAUAUGGAGGUUCCCAGGCUAGGGCUCCAAUUGGAGCUGCCAGCCUACACCACAGCCACAGCAACGCCAGAUCUGAGCCGCGUCUGUAACCUACACCACAACCCAUGGCAACGCUGGAUCCUUAACCCACUGAGCGAGGCCAGGGAUCAAAUCUGCAGCCUCACGGUUCCUAGUCAAAUUUGUUUCCACUGUGUCAGGACGGGAACUCCCAAUAUACUAAGUUCAUUUUUAAAGUAUUUUCUUGCAAAGGAAAUGGUUUUGGUCUGCCAUAAGGUCUGGGAGCUGUAUGAAAUCAAAGUAAAUGAUACAGAACAGUAUGGUCCAAUGUAAUUUUCUGUAACGAUGGGAAUGUUCUCUACCUGUGCUGUCCAAUAUGACAGUCACUAGACAUAGGUGGCUACUGAGCACUUGAAAGAGCAGCAUAGGAUGACAAAAUGUGUCAAACAGAGCCUGAUAAGUCCUAAUACUUAAUGCAACUGGAAUGACCUGAAAACAGAGCUAAAAAAAUAUUCAGUCUCAAAUAAUCCCAAAAGGAAAGUUCCAUUGUGGUGCAGUGAGUUAAGGAUCCAGCGAUGCCGCAGCUGUGGCAUAGGUUCCAACUGCAGCGCAGUUUCCAUCCCUGGCCCGGGAACUUCCACAUGGAGCAGAUGCAGCCAAAUAUAUAUAUUCACAAAAGUUUAACCUCAUUCAUCAUAUGCUUUAAGAGGUUUUUCCCAAACUCAUAAAAUAGUCAGAGGCUUGACUUUCGAGCCCUGAUACAUGUAAAUACAAAUUUAGAAUAACAUGGAGUAAAGUCAAAGACUUGCCAAUCACAACAGAAAACUUAAUCUAUGCUUAAUUUCCAAAGUGACAUACCUGAUUCACAGAGUUCAAAAUGAUUAAUAGUCACCAGGGAAAGAAGACCACAACAUAGUUUCAGAAUGGAAAACCAGAGGCAAACAGAAAAAGGAAAAAAGAAGAAGAAAACAAGCCCUGCCCUUCACUUAAAGCUGCCUUAGCCGUUCUGUGACCUGGAUUAGUAUAUCAGGCAAAGAAGCAAGCCACCACCUGGAAAGUUUAGUGAUUAACCGCCAUCCUUUGGGUUAAUACUUUGAUAGAAACAGCCCAUCUCCUGUCAGUUAUUUACGAAAACCUGUUUGGAAACAGAUUGUUAGUUGUCCUUUCCAAACUCUACCUACAAGAAUGUUUUCUCUGCUGACUCAAAAGUAGUUAUUCUCCCCCACCCCUUUUUCUGUUCUUGUUUGGCUAAAUGCACAGGAGAAAGAAGGAGCCCUUUCUGGAGGUUUAUCUUGGCAUGAACUUCCCAUUUCUUCAGGGCUGACAUAUCUGGCUUAGAGAUAAACGACCUUAAUUUGGAGAACAAACAUCACUCCUUUCCACCUCUGGUGAACAAAGGACGACACCCUUUCAAGGCUGGCCGCAUCUGACGCUCACCUCCGCAGGUAAAUAUCCAGGAGAGCUUCCAAGUCAAAGAGAAUGGCUUUGGUCCGCCCUGAGGUCUGGCAGUGGAGUAAAACCAAAGGCAGUGACAUAGAGCAGUGCCGCCCGAGGGACCGUUCCUCUCCACGCUGUUCAGGACGUACCCGCUACGCACCCCACGCCAGCCGCUGGGCACAGGCGGCUGUCCAGUAGGUGACGCGGAGCUGGUGCUGCUGGAGACUGAAUGUUGCUUAGCUUUAUACGGAACGAUGUGGCUGGAGACUACAUUAGCCAGUGCAGCAGGAACGGUCAACAGGCGCUACCUCCUGCCACGACCCAGCUUUGCUGGAUUAUUUCUCUAAUCCUCACAACAGCGCCACACGGUGGCUGUGUGUAAUCCUGUUACAGACGAGGAAACCGAGGAUCCAGGGUUUAAGGCCCUGGCGGCAACAGGAAGAGUGGAAUGAGCGUCACCCGAACCCCAUCUCCACCACACCGAACCCCACUGUGUCUCACGUCGUCCUUGGUCAAAACUGAAACUCUACCAGAACCGGAGAUGCUCUGAGGACUGCCCUUCCCCUAGUGGCACUCUGCAGACGCCCAUCAAGCCCCCUGCGGGUGGGUGUCAGGGCCUUGCUCUCUACCACACCGCCCCUUCCUGAAUUCAGGCCCCAGAUUCCACCUCUCUGCUUGUAAACCAAGCAUGGAAAAAUGAGGCGUUCCCCGGUGGCACAGUGGCUAAGGAUUCAGCAGCUGUCACUGCUGUGGUGCAAGUUCAGUCCCUGGCUGGGGAACUUCUGCAUGCUGGGGGACGUGGCCAAAAAAUAAAUAAAUACCUAAGAGAGCCAGAAUCAAAACAUACAUACACACACACAUACAUACGUACAUAAAAAGAACGGAGAAACUAGAUCCGGUGGCCCUCCUGCUGAAGAGAAAACCUGGAUUUUUAAAGCAACAACGAGGAAAAUAUCAACAACCACACUUCUGCAACACAGCCUCUUAUUUGAGAGGCUAUCAUUUCCCCCACCUAGUAAGGGUGACAGUCUAUCACAGAGGACCCACUGCUGUCGUCUGACUCCACUUAGGGAAGCUUUUCCUCGCCGCCUGCCCCUUGGUUGCCAGGGCAGAGUCAGGAAAAGCCCUCCUCGAGGCAGAGGCGGCCACAAGUGAGGAGGCCAGCCAUCCCAACAAGCUCGCUCUUAGGUGACAUGGAAAUUUCCUAGAAGGAAGCAAGCGCUCGCGUAACUAACUCCCGAAAACAAAGUCAGGCUAGGUGAAGUUAUCUUAGGAAAUGGUAGACUAGAUAAAGGCAUCAUGGGGCGAAAAAAGCCGACAGGUAGAGAUUGUGACAAAGCUGAUUGUUGGCACCAAGGAAGAACGCUGUGUUAGAGAGAGGCAUCUGAUUCAGCUUUUCUUUAGCCUUAAAACUUCAUAAAAGUAUUGAGAGUCUCUCUUUUGCUUUUACUUAGUCAUUUAUGUGACUAGGGCUGAAGACAGUAAAAUGCUGUUUGUGUCAAUGUAAGCCAUUUUUUGAAAAGAGAAGAAAAGCUCCCCUCUUUUGAAGUAUAAUGUAUAACUGAAUCACCUUGCUUUACAGCAGAAAUUAACAGAAUAUUGUAAAUUUACUAUACUUCAAUUUCUUAAAAAAGGAAAAAAAAGAGAGGCUAAAAGAGAAAAGAUGAAAUCAUCUGUAUUUCCAUCAGCAUCAGUAACCAUUAUUAAUAUUUUCUAAAUUUUUGGAACAUCUUUCUUAACUUUGGAUCUUCCUCUGUGUGUGUGUGUGUGUGUGUGUGUGCACACACAUGUUUCUACAAUAUUUUCUUAGCCUCUUUGCUGAAAACUCCAUCUUGUCCUGCUUUAUCCUACCUUCCUGCUUUACUUUACCCCACCUUCCUGCUUGAAAAACAGUCACAGUGAUGGUAAAUGACUUAAGCUUAAGAACAAAGACCUAAAGGCAUAAUUCAUAGGGUCUGCUGAAUGAGGACAAAAUGAGUUGGUCUAGGCACAUCGGACCUGUGCAGACUGGCAUGCCGUUUGCACAAGCACGAUAUGUCCUCUAAAGAAUAAGAGAAAGAGGAACCUCGUGGACAAGUGGUUUACGAGCAGUCGUUAGCAGAAUAUGCAUUAGCAAAGAGAACCAAGUUGCAAACCUAGGCACACCGGGUUGCCGCAAAUAGGCAUGCUGUUUGCACAGUGAGGAUUCUCUGAAAGGCUAUGCAUAGAUAGCUCACUCAAAUGCUAAUGAUUGUUAAAUACCUGAAGGUCAGAGUAAAAGCUUAACCAUCUACCAGCUAUGUGAUUUUUAAAAUAAUAAAAGAACUUAUAGAAUAAUAAAAAAAACCCCUAACAUCCUCCACCUAUAGCCCCCUCCUCACUUGACGUAAUCCUCAAGAGCACAAUAAAAGCAGUGUGGUUUCUUGAGGGGUGCUCUUGGUCCCUGAGUCCCUUGGUUCCCACCUUUACUUAAGAUAAAUGUCUCUGUGUUUUGUUUUAUGUUAACUUUUUUCCUUUUUUCCGUACGUUUCACAGCACCCGUUCUUUGGCCCCAUCCUGCUGAGCUGGUCUCAGCAGUGUGACAAUAUAGAGGUAUUAGCUAAUGUGACAUUGUAGUAUAUAAAUGUAUCAAAUCAUCAUAUUGUACACCUUAUACUUACAGGUUGUUAUAUGUUAACUAUAUCUCAAAAAAACCCUGGCAUUAUAAUAUUAUAAAGUAUUGUCACCUUCUUUCUUGAAUUCAACUGUAUUUUGAAUGUAUUUCGAUAUCAUUAAAUACUUCUCUUUAAUAUAAUUUUUAAUGAUGGUCUAAUACUGCAUUCAUUUUUUUGGAUGUAUCAUACACUUUUAAAUCUGACUUAUUUUCCUUUUUUUAGUAUAAUAAAAAUGCUGUAAUAAAUAUUCUGGAGGCUAACAAUUUUUUGCUUGUUUGUAAUAAUAUCUUUGGCAUAAAUUUGUAAAAUUUAGAUUUUGAGAUCAAACAUUAUGCAAAAAUAAACUAAUACUAUAAAUCAACUAUACUCUUAUUUUAAAAUGAUACAAUUAUGUGUAAAAUAAGUGAUCAACAAAGAUAUUUGUAUAGUACAGAGAAUUAUAGAUAUUAUCCUGUAAUAACUUUUAAUGGAGUAUAAACUAUAAAAAUACUGAAUCAUUAUACUGUACACCCCAACCUAAUAUAAUCCUGUAAAUCUACUAUACUUCAAUUUUUUUUAUUACUCAAAUGAAUUUAUUACAUCUGUAGUUGUAUAAUGAUCAUAACAAUCCAGUUUCACAGGAUUUCCAUCUCACAACCCAAGCACAUC